UACAGGGGGGCAAGCGUUGUUCGGAAUUACUGGGCGUAAAGGGCUCGUAGGUGGCCAACUAAGUCAGACGUGAAAUCCCUCAGCUUAACUGGGGAACUGCGUCUGGUACUGGAUGGCUUGAGUUUGGGAGAGGGAUGCGGAAUUCCAGGUGUAGCGGUGAAAUGCGUAGAUAUCUGGAGGAACACCGGUGGCGAAGGCGGCAUCCUGGACCAAUACUGACACUGAGGAGCGAAAGCCAGGGGAGCAAACGGG
rnacentral:rRNA from 1 species